UAGGGAAUCUUCCGCAAUGGGCGAAAGCCUGACGGAGCAACGCCGCGUGAGUGAUGAAGGUCUUCGGAUCGUAAAACUCUGUUAUUAGGGAAGAACAAAUGUGUAAGUAACUAUGCACGUCUUGACGGUACCUAAUCAGAAAGCCACGGCUAACUACGUGCCAGCAGCCGCGGUAAUACGUAGGUGGCAAGCGUUAUCCGGAAUUGUUGGGCGUAAAGCGCGCGUAGGCGGUUUUUUAAGUCUGAUGUGAAAGCCCACGGCUCAACCGUGGAGGGUCAUUGGAAACUGGAAAACUUGAGUGCAGAAGAGGAAAGUGGAAUUCCAUGUGUAGCGGUGAAAUGCGCAGAGAUAUGGAGGAACACCAGUGGCGAAGGCGACUUUCUGGUCUGUAACUGACGCUGAUGUGCGAAAGCGUGGGGAUCAAACAGG
rnacentral:rRNA from 1 species